rnacentral:rRNA from 1 species
UUGAAAGGGAAACGAUUGAAGUCAGUCGUACCAGCGGGAAAUCAACCUUUCGAGUGGGGGUUUUGGAGUUUUUUGAAGAGUGUCAAAACCUUUGAGAUUUCAAAAUAUUCGCUCUUUUGGUGUACUUUCUCGUGGGUAGGUUAACAUCGAUUUUGAUCAUCAUAAAAAGAUUGGAGGAAUGUAGCUUCGAUCUUGUAUUGAAGUGUUAUAGCCUUUGGUAAAUGUGAUGAUUAGGAUCGAGGAUUGCAACGAAUACCCUUUUGGGCUAUCCGCCUGAUCUCUGAUACGUGGCCUUGGUAUCGAAAGCGUGCUUAUGGUAUUAAGGUAUUACGGUCAAAAGGUUAGAACNGAUUACAUUCGUUAAGGAUGUUGACGUA